rnacentral:rRNA from 1 species
UGGGGAAUAUUGGACAAUGGGCGCAAGCCUGAUCCAGCCAUGCCGCGUGAGUGAUGAAGGCCCUAGGGUUGUAAAGCUCUUUCACCGGUGAAGAUAAUGACGGUAACCGGAGAAGAAGCCCCGGCUAACUUCGUGCCAGCAGCCGCGGUAAUACGAAGGGGGCUAGCGUUGUUCGGAUUUACUGGGCGUAAAGCGCACGUAGGCGGACUAUUAAGUCAGGGGUGAAAUCCCGGGGCUCAACCCCGGAACUGCCUUUGAUACUGGUAGUCUUGAGUUCGAGAGAGGUGAGUGGAAUUCCGAGUGUAGAGGUGAAAUUCGUAGAUAUUCGGGGGAAAAACAGUGGCGAAGGCGGCUCACUGGCUCGAUACUGACGCUGAGGUGCGAAAGCGUGGGGAGCAAACAGG